rnacentral:rRNA from 1 species
CCCCAGACUCCUACGGGAGGCAGCAGUGAGGAAUAUUGGUCAAUGGACGAGAGUCUGAACCAGCCAAGUAGCGUGAAGGAUGACUGCCCUAUGGGUUGUAAACUUCUUUUAUAUGGGAAUAAAAUGUUCCACGUGUGGGAUUUUGUAUGUACCAUAUGAAUAAGGAUCGGCUAACUCCGUGCCAGCAGCCGCGGUAAUACGGAGGAUCCGAGCGUUAUCCGGAUUUAUUGGGUUUAAAGGGUGCGCAGGCGGCGAGUUAAGUCAGCGGUAAAAUUUCGGGGCUCAACCCCGAUAAGCCGUUGAAACUGGCUUGCUAGAGUGGGCGAGAAGUAUGCGGAAUGCGUGGUGUAGCGGUGAAAUGCAUAGAUAUCACGCAGAACUCCGAUUGCGAAGGCAGCAUACCGGCGCCCAACUGACGCUCAGGCACGAAAGCGUGGGUAUCGAACAGGAUUAGAUACCCCCGUAAG